ACCUCAAAUUCGCCCCCU
rnacentral:rRNA from 1 species